GACGAACCGUGCGACCGUUGUUCGGAAUCACUGGGCAUAAAGGGCGCGUAGGCGGCUUUUCAAGUCAGGGGUGAAAUCCGGCAGCUCAACUGUCGAAGUGCCCUUGAUACUGAGGAGCUCGAGGGAGGUAGGGGUGUGUGGAACUUCCGGUGGAGCGGUGAAAUGCGUUGAUAUCGGAAGGAACGCCGGUGGCGAAAGCGACGCACUGGACCUCUUCUGACGCUGAGGCGCGAAAGCCAGGGGAGCAAACGGG
rnacentral:rRNA from 1 species